CCCUUAGAUGUCCUGGGCCGCACGCGCGCUACACUGACAUGUUCAACAAGCCUCCUAGUUCGACAGGAUUUGGGAAAUCUUUGAACGCAUGUCGUGAUAGGGAUAGAUCAUUGCAAUUAUUGAUCUUGAACGAGGAAUUCCUAGUAAACGCGAGUCAUCAGCUCGCAUUGAUUACGUCCCUACCCUUUGUACACACCGCCCGUCGCACCUACCGAUUGAAUGUUUCGGUGAAGAUUCCGGAUAGGACUUUUUUGAUUUAUUUCAAUUCUGUCUUAAAAGCUAUCUAAACCUCAACAUUUAGAGGAAGGUGAAGUCGUAACA
rnacentral:rRNA from 1 species